rnacentral:rRNA from 1 species
UACAGAGGGGGCAAGCGUUGUUCGGAAUUACUGGGCGUAAAGGGCGCGUAGGCGGCCUGCUAAGUCGAACGUGAAAUCCCCGGGCUCAACCCGGGAACUGCGUCCGAUACUGGUUGGCUUGAAUCCGGGAGAGGGAUGUGGAAUUCCAGGUGUAGCGGUGAAAUGCGUAGAGAUCGGGAAGAACAUCGGUGGCGAAAGCGCUCUGCUGGACUGCAACUGACACUCAGGGACGAAAGCUAGGGGAGCGAAUGGG